CGGCUGAAUAAGCCUACAUUAAUACCAACUUUUAGCGCACGGCUCUCUCCCAAGAGCCAUUUCCCUAGACCGAAUAUCAGGAAUCGUAUUCGGUCUUUUUUU
rnacentral:sRNA from 22 species